ACGGCAACAUAGGCACUUAUUUGAAUUCUGAAUAUAGUAAGUGCUGAUUGUUGUUGUGU
ensembl:miRNA